CUCUUAUCAAGAGAAGGCGAGGGACUGGCCCGUUGACCCUUCAGCAACAGACAAUGUUAAAUUGAACUGUGCUAAAUCCUGUAGCGUAAGCUAAAAGAUAAGAA
rnacentral:ncRNA from 2 species